AUUGAACGCUGGCGGCAUGCCUUACACAUGCAAGUCGAACGGCAGCACGGGAGCAAUCCUGGUGGCGAGUGGCGAACGGGUGAGUAAUAUAUCGGAACGUGCCCGGUCGUGGGGAUAACGUAGCGAAAGCUACGCUAAUACCGCAUACGAUCUACGGAUGAAAGCGGGGGAUCGCAAGACCUCGCGCGAUUGGAGCGGCCGAUAUCAGAUUAGGUAGUUGGUGAGGUAAAGGCUCACCAAGCCGACGAUCUGUAGCUGGUCUGAGAGGACGACCAGCCACACUGGGACUGAGACACGGCCCAGACUCCUACGGGAGGCAGCAGUGGGGAAUUUUGGACAAUGGGCGCAAGCCUGAUCCAGCAAUGCCGCGUGCAGGAUGAAGGCCUUCGGUUGG
rnacentral:rRNA from 1 species